AACAAAAACAACUUGUAGCCCACAAACAAACAGUUGAUGAGCAGCAGCAGAACCACGCAGGGGAUCAGUACCAGGAUCAACAGCGCCAAACUGGACACCGGGAGGCCCUCGGCUAAGUUGGGGCGCCCUGUGGCUUCUCUCUGCGCGUGAUGGUUAAAGACUGUCAGCUGAGUUGAGCUGAAAUCAAGGCUCGUGGUUUUCCUAAAUAUGUUUUUUCAGAAACCUGACAUUUCAAAGAUUGGAAGUUUAAUCGGGACAGUACCUAGUUAUGUCCGGAAGAGGUCGCCACUAAACCCCAAUCACAGGUUUGUAAAAGAGAAAUGCAUGUAUCAC